rnacentral:rRNA from 1 species
ACACUCCUGCGGGAGGCAGCAGUGGGGAAUUUUGGACAAUGGGCGAAAGCCUGAUCCAGCAAUGCCGCGUGUGUGAAGAAGGCCUUCGGGUUGUAAAGCACUUUUGUCCGGAAAGAAAUCCUUGGCUCUAAUACAGUCGGGGGAUGACGGUACCGGAAGAAUAAGCACCGGCUAACUACGUGCCAGCAGCCGCGGUAAUACGGAGGGUGCGAGCGUUAAUCGGAAUUACUGGGCGUAAAGCGUGCGCAGGCGGUUUGCUAAGACCGAUGUGAAAUCCCCGGGCUCAACCUGGGAACUGCAUUGGUGACUGGCAGGCUAGAGUAUGGCAGAGGGGGGUAGAAUUCCACGUGUAGCAGUGAAAUGCGUAGAGAUGUGGAGGAAUACCGAUGGCGAAGGCAGCCCCCUGGGCCAAUACUGACGCUCAUGCACGAAAGCGUGGGGAGCAAACAGGAUUAGAUACCCCGGUAGUCCCAUG